UCGGAACGUGCCCAAUCGUGGGGGAUAACGUAGCGAAAGCUACGCUAAUACCGCAUACGAUCUACGGAUGAAAGCAGGGGACUCGCAAGAGCCUUGCGCGAAUGGAGCGGCCGAUGGCAGAUUAGGUAGUUGGUGGGGUAAAGGCUCACCAAGCCUUCGAUCUGUAGCUGGUCUGAGAGGACGACCAGCCACACUGGGACUGAGACACGGCCCAG
rnacentral:rRNA from 1 species